AGUAACUGCGAGUGAAGCGGGAAAAGCUCAAAUUUAAAAUCUGGUGGUCUUUGGCCAUCCGAGUUGUAAUUUAAAGAAGCGUUUUCCGCGCUGGACCGUGCACAAGUCUCCUGGAAUGGAGCCUCAUAGAGGGUGAGAAUCCCGUCUUUGGCACGGACGCACCAGGGCUUUUGUGAUGCGCUCUCGAAGAGUCGAGUUGUUUGGGAAUGCAGCUCAAAAUGGGUGGUGAACUCCAUCUAAAGCUAAAUAUUGGCGAGAGACCGAUAGCGAACAAGUACCGUGAGGGAAAGAUGAAAAGCACUUUGGAAAGAGAGUGAAACAGUACGUGAAAUUGUUGAAAGGGAAACGCUUGAAGUCAGUCGCGUCGACCGAGACUCAGCCUCGCCUCGGCUUGGUGUACUUCUCGGCUGACGGGUCAGCAUCAAUUUUGCCCCUUGGAUAAUGGCAGGGGAAAUGUGACACCUUUACGGUGUGUUAUAGUCUCUCGUCGCAUGCAAGGGUCGGGAUUGAGGAACUCAGCACGCGCCUCUGGGCGUCGGGGCUUUGCCCACGAUACGUGCUUAGGAUGUUGGCGUAAUGGCUUUAAACGACCCGUCUUGAAACACGGACCAAGGAGUCUAACAUGCCUGCGAGUGUUCGGGUGGAAAACCCGUGCGCGCAAUGAAAGUGAAAGUUGGGACCUCCGUCGUGGAGGGCACCGACGCCCGGACCAGACCUUCUGUGACGGCUCUGCGGUAGAGCAUGCAUGUUAGGACCCGAAAGAUGGUGAACUAUGCCUGAAUAGGGUGAAGCCAGAGGAAACUCUGGUGGAGGCUCGUAGCGAUUCUGACGUGCAAAUCGAUCGUCAAAUUUGGGUAUAGGGGCGAAAGACUAAUCGAACCAU
rnacentral:rRNA from 1 species